UGUGUGUGUGUGUGUGUGUGUGUGUGUGUGUGUGUGUGUGUGUGUGUGUGUGUGUGUGUGUGUGUGUGUGUGUGUGUGUGUGUAGACUGCAGCAGGAGCGUGUGGAAGCGGCUCAUAUUGCAGAAUUGGCCGUCAGACAGCUGGAGGAAGAGCACACCACGCAGAUCAUCAUUGACACGAAAACUGAAGAGUCGGACAAUGAGGAGCAACUGCCACAUAUCCAGGAGGAAGAGAAUGAAGAAGAUCCAGAGAGCCUGGUGGAUGUCUGCCCAGCGGAGCCUUCGCCACACGCGUCUGAGGUCUCAGAUCAGGCACCACAAAGUCCGCCACCACCGCCUGUGACCAGUCAGCCUCAACGGACAUCUUUACCUCCUGAUGCUGACCAGGUAACAUUGCUUAAAACAAUUUCAGAAGUUUCAGAAGGUAUUGUAACUUUUAGAAAGGAAUU
rnacentral:lncRNA from 1 species